CCUACGGGGCGCAGCAGUGAGGAAUAUUGGUCAAUGGACGCAAGUCUGAACCAGCCAUGCCGCGUGCAGGAAGACGGCUCUAUGAGUUGUAAACUGCUUUUGUACGAGGGUAAACGCAGAUACGCGUAUCUGUCUGAAAGUAUCGUACGAAUAAGGAUCGGCUAACUCCGUGCCAGCAGCCGCGGUAAUACGGAGGAUUCAAGCGUUAUCCGGAUUUAUUGGGUUUAAAGGGUGCGUAGGCGGUCGGAUAAGUUAGAGGUGAAAUCCCGAGGCUCAACUUCGGAAUUGCCUCUGAUACUGUCCGGCUAGAGAGUAGUUGCGGUAGGCGGAAUGUAUGGUGUAGCGGUGAAAUGCUUAGAGAUCAUACAGAACACCGAUUGCGAAGGCAGCUUACCAAGCUACUUCUGACGUUGAGGCACGAAAGCGUGGGGAGCAAACAGGAUUAGAUACCCUAGUAGUC
rnacentral:rRNA from 1 species